rnacentral:rRNA from 1 species
AUUGAACGCUGGCGGCAUGCCUUACACAUGCAAGUCGAACGGUUACGGGCCUUCGGGUGCCGACGAUUGGCGGACGGGUGGGUAAUACAUCGGAACGUGCCCGAUCGUGGGGGCUAACGAGGCGGAAGCUUUGCUAAUACCGCAUACGAUCUACGGAUGAGAGCAGGGGUCCGCAAGGCCUUGCGCGGACGGAGCGGCCGGUGGCAGAUUAUGUAGUUGGUGGGAUAAAAGUUUACCAGGCCAACGAUCUGUAGCUGGUCCGAGAGGAUGAUCAGCCACACUGCGACUGAGAGGCGUCCCAGGCGCCGACGGGAGGCAGCAGUGGUGAAUUUUGGGCAAUGGGCGCAAGCCUGGUCCAGCCAUGCAGGGAGCAGGACGAAGGCCUUCGAGUUGUAAACUGCUUGUGUACGGAAAGAAGAGCCUUCUUUUAAUACAGGAGGGUCAUGACGGUACCGUAAGAAUAAGCACCGGCUAACUACGU